rnacentral:lncRNA from 1 species
AACUACUGGCUGACCUCGAGAACUGAUACCGAGCCACUUCCAUGGCAAGACACAAGUCCUUUUUUUUUUUUUUUUUUNGCCAAAUAGCCACACACUCACUUUAGCUGAGGCGCACUGGAGACACAAUGAGAAAUGUCUGAACUAUGCAAGGAUCUCUGUGAUGUCAACGCAUGAGAGUGAGAUGCUAAGACGUUAUUAUGACAAUGAAAAGAAGAAGAGAAAUAGCCACAUUUCAAGCAUGAAUUCUACCACAAGCAAAAUGAUGAAGAAAAAAGAUCUCUUUUACAUAACGAUCCGUGCUCAGUUCGUUUCACAGCCAAGAAGAGGAAUUGCUAGACAACAAAACAUAUGCAACGCCCAAAAUAUCUACAUCCUUUAUUUAAAAUUUUUAAAAUCCCUUGGAAAAUAUCUGACAUAUCUAUUUUUCUUAAUAGAUUGUAAGAGGCAGUGUGCUUACACUAGUCUCCUCCUUGGCUGCAGAAGUGGUGAUAUUGUAGUUGUUGUCGUCAUAUAA